rfam:Flavobacterium suncheonense GH29-5 = DSM 17707 strain GH29-5 contig2, whole genome shotgun sequence.
CUUUAGCCCUGAUGGGAGCGGCACCGCGUAAAGCGGACAGCAGGAUUUACG